rnacentral:rRNA from 1 species
CGUAGGGUGCAAGCGUUAAUCGGAAUUACUGGGCGUAAAGCGUGCGCAGGCGGUGAUGUAAGACAGGUGUGAAAUCCCCGGGCUUAACCUGGGAACUGCAUUUGUGACUGCAUCGCUGGAGUGCGGCAGAGGGGGAUGGAAUUCCGCGUGUAGCAGUGAAACGCGUAGAUAUGCGGAGGAACACCGAUGGCGAAGGCAAUCCCCUGGGCCUGCACUGACGCUCAUGCACGAAAGCGUGGGGAGCAAACAGGAUUAGGUACCCUGGUAGUCCACGCCCUAAACGAUGUCAACUGGUUGUUGGGUCUUCACUGACUCAGUAACGAAGCUAACGCGUGAAGUUGACCGCCUGGGGAGUACGGCCGCAAGGUUG